rnacentral:rRNA from 1 species
UACAGAGGGUGCAAGCGUUAUUCGGAAUUAUUGGGCGUAAAGGGCGCGUAGGCGGCGAUUCAAGUGACGGGUGAAAUCCCUCGGCUUAACCGAGGAACUGCCUGUCAGACUGGAUUGCUUGAGUCCGGGAGAGGCGAGUGGAAUUCCCAGUGUAGCGGUGAAAUGCGUAGAUAUUGGGAGGAACACCAGUGGCGAAGGCGGCUCACUGGACCACAACUGACGCUGAGGCGCGAAAGCUAGGGGAGCAAACAGG